AAAUGUACCUGAAUUAUUUCUAGACCGACCUCUUCUAUCCUAGACCAUCUUUGGCUUGUUUGACAAGUACCAAGAAUUCUGUGUCCCUCAAUGGAAUUCAUUCUGUACUGAGUACUUUUUUAGCCACGUCAUAUUCUUGUGGAACGAGGUCCAACAGUCUAGUCCCAAGGUCCUGCAUCUUAGUUAUCCAGUCUGACCCUGUUGCCAUAACCGGAUGGAACUGAAAACAGUCUUUCAACAAACUGAAAAAAGACAUAUUUAAAACCUGCAUAGCCCGUGCUCUCCAAGUGAAUAGACAUUUUCAGUAGGCUUCCAAGAAAGAAGAAGGCCUUGUUACUCUCCCCAGGGAGCUGUAGGCUAACCAGGGAAAUAAGACAUGAAAUCAAGAGUCAAAGUACAAGUCUUUAUAAUAAAAUGCUAAAUUAUGAAGUCAAUUUUAUUCAGAAGAAAUUGAUAUUAUUGUUAGAAUACCCAGGAAAGAGCAUUUUAUUGACCGUCUGCAGCCAAAAUGCCACCCAAGUAGUACAGUAUUCACCAUUCUCAGGAGGAUGAAGGAAUGUGCCCAGUUCGCACCGUGGUUAAGUGGCAGAGCUGAGCAGGAGCAACGUCUCUGCUGGGGCUGCAGGAGAAUCCAUAUCAGGAAGCCCGGCCUGCGUGAGUCACUCAUCAUCCCAGCCAACACAUUCUGAAUGGAGACGCGCCGUCCACACAUCACUGCUGAGCCUUUGAAGCACUCCAGCUUGGCAAUAAGCACACAAAGUUUCGUAAUAUUGGCGUAAACCUGGUACGAUCAGUGACUGCUCAUGGCCUUGAAUAAUCACUGCAAAACCAUUCGGGUGAAGACACAGUGACUCAGCACCCUCCCUUCCCACCUCAGGACUUUCCGGAGUCCAAGGAGAAAGAAGGCCAGCUGAGCACUCUGAUGGCUGCGCCACUGAGUCUCACUCCCCUCUGUCGUCCCAGUCCGCAGUGCUAUUGGCAGGAAGGA